rnacentral:rRNA from 1 species
GAGUUUGAUCAUGGCUCAGGAUGAACGCUGGCGGCGUGCCUAACACAUGCAAGUCGAACGGAUCCAUAUUGAAACCUAGUGAUGUAUGGAUUAGUGGCGGACGGGUGAGUAACGCGUGGAUAACCUGCCGUAUACAGGGGGAUAACACUUAGAAAUAGGUGCUAAUACCGCAUAAGCGCACGGUUCCGCAUGGAACAGUGUGAAAAACUCCGGUGGUAUACGAUGGAUCCGCGUCUGAUUAGCCAGUUGGCGGGGUAACGGCCCACCAAAGCGACGAUCAGUAGCCGGCCUGAGAGGGUGAACGGCCACAUUGGGACUGAGACACGGCCCAAACUCCUACGGGAGGCAGCAGUGGGGAAUAUUGCACAAUGGGGGAAACCCUGAUGCAGCGACGCCGCGUGAGUGAAGAAGUAUUUCGGUACGUAAAGCUCUAUCAGCAGGGAAGAAAAAAAGUCCUUUGGACUUUGGACGGUACCUGACCAAGAAGCCCCGGCUAACUACGUGCCAGCAGCCGCGGUAAUACGUAGGGGGCAAGCGUUAUCCGGAUUUACUGGGUGUAAAGGGAGCGUAGACGGCAGCGCAAGUCUGGAGUGAAAUGCCGGGGCCCAACCCCGGAACUGCUUUGGAAACUGUGCAGCUCGAGUGCAGGAGAGGUAAGCGGAAUUCCUAGUGUAGCGGUGAAAUGCGUAGAUAUUAGGAGGAACACCAGUGGCGAAGGCGGCUUACUGGACUGUAACUGACGUUGAGGCUCGAAAGCGUGGGGAGCAAACAGGAUUAGAUACCCUGGUAGUCCACGCCGUAAACGAUGAUUACUAGGUGUCGGGGGGCCAAGGCCCUCCGGUGCCGCCGCAAACGCAUUAAGUAAUCCACCUGGGGAGUACGUUCGCAAGAAUGAAACUCAAAGGAAUUGACGG